UGGGGAAUAUUGCACAAUGGACGGAAGUUUGAUGCAGCGACGCCGCGUGGAGGGUGUAGGCCUUCGGGUUGUGAACUCCUUUUUCUCGCGAAAAAGGCACAGUUUUGGCUGUGUUGAUGGUAGUGGGGGAAGAAGCGCCGGCUAACUACGUGCCUGCAGCCGCGGUAAUACGUAGGGCGCGAGCGUUGUCCGGAUUUAUUGGGCGUAAAGAGCUCGUAGGUGGUUCGUCGCGUCUGUCGUGAAAGCCAGCAGCUUAACUGUUGGUCUGCGGUGGGUACGGGCGGGCUUGAGUGCGGUAGGAGUGACUGGAAUUCCUGGUGUAGCGGUGGAAUGCGCAGAUAUCAGGAGGAACACCGAUGGCGAAGGCAGGUCACUGGGCCGUUACUGACACUGAGGAGCGAAAGCGUGGGGAGCAAACAGG
rnacentral:rRNA from 1 species